rnacentral:lncRNA from 1 species
UGACAAUUUAAGAUAACUACUGAGAGAGGAGGUCUUACAUGGCUGUUUUCACCCCAUCUGGCGGUCACACAAAUCUGAUAAAAGCUGUGGAUUAUGUUUUAUCAAGAUUCUGUUGGCUGUGGUGACAGCUUACUUCCCUCCUAUUACAGACGUGCUUUUGGCAUAGAGGCAUGGCUGAAUCCUCACAUCAUCAACUAGAGUGGGAAGCAUGUUCUUUCCUCCAAGUGGAGUUGGAAAUGUCCCAGGGAAGGACUCUAACUGGCCCCACUGGAGUCAGGAUGAUGGGAAGCCAUUUCUGUGCAGGGAGACCCGGAA